GUGUAUGUGCUUGGCUGAGGAGCC
rnacentral:piRNA from 5 species